rnacentral:rRNA from 1 species
UACGUAGGGUGCAAGCGUUGUCCGGAAUUAUUGGGCGUAAAGAGCUCGUAGGCGGUCUGUUGCGUCGGCUGUGAAAACCCGGGGCUCAACUCCGGGCCUGCAGCCGAUACGGGCAGACUAGAGUUCGGCAGGGGAGACUGGAAUUCCUGGUGUAGCGGUGAAAUGCGCAGAUAUCAGGAGGAACACCGGUGGCGAAGGCGGGUCUCUGGGCAUGUCCUGACGCUGAGGUGCGAAAGCGUGGGGAGCAAACAGG